rnacentral:rRNA from 1 species
UGGGGAAUUUUACACAAUGGGGGAAACCCUGAUAUAGCAACGCCGCGUGGAGGAUGACGGAUUUAGGUCUGUAAACUCCUUUUAUAAGGGAAGAAAUUUGACGGUACCUUAUGAAUAAGCACCGGCUAACUACGUGCCAGCAGCCGCGGUAAUACGUAGGGGGCAAGCGUUGUCCGGAUUUACUGGGUGUAAAGGGCGCGCAGGCGGGAUAAAAAGUCAGAGGUGAAAUCCUACAGCUUAACUGUAGAACUGCCUUUGAUACUUUUAUUCUUGAGUUCGGGAGAGAGAGACGGAAUUCCAGGUGUAGUGGUGAAAUACGUAGAUAUCUGGAAGAACACCAGUUGCGAAGGCGGUCUCUUGGUCCGACACUGACGCUGAGGCGCGAAAGCGUGGGGAGCAAACA